GUGCCAGCCGCCGCGGUAAGACAGAGGCCACAAGCGUUAGGCGGAAUCACUGGGCUUAAAGCGUGUGUAGGCGGAAGCGUAAGUGCUUUGUGAAAUCCCACGGCUUAACCGUGGAACUGCUUGGCAUACUGCGUUUCUUGAGCCACUCAGGGGUCGCUGGAACAAACGGUGGAGCGGUGAAAUGCGUAGAUAUCGUUUGGAACGCCAAAGGUGAAAACAGGCGACUGGGAGUGUGCUGACGCUGAGACACGAAAGCCAGGGGAGCAAACGGGAUUAGAUACCCGUGUAGUCC
rnacentral:rRNA from 1 species